rnacentral:rRNA from 1 species
UGAGGAAUCUUCCACAAUGGGCGAAAGCCUGAUGGAGCGACACCGCGUGAAGGAUGAAGGUUUUGUUAUUGUAAACUUCUUUUCUGUGGGACGAUAAUGACGGUACCACAGGAAUAAGGGACGGCAAACUACGUGCCAGCAGCCGCGGUAAUACGUAGGUCCCAAGCGUUAUCCGGAAUUACUGGGUGUAAAGCGUCUGUAGGUGGAGAGAUAAGUUACAUAGUAAAGUUUGGAGCUCAACUCCAAAAAUCUGUGUAAAACUGUCUUUCUAGAAUCGGGGAGAGGGAAGCGGAACUGUGAGAGUAGGGGUGCAAUCCGUUGAUACUCACAAGAACACCAAAAGCGAAGGCAGCUUCCUGGAACCGUAUUGACACUGAGAGACGAAAGCGUGGGGAGCGAAAAGG